AGAAGUUGGUCAAUCAUCAUCAAGCGCUAACAAUAGUGGUCAAUCAUCAUCAAGCGCUAACAACUAAAAUGUCCAUAUACAGAAGAAUUGUCAAGUCAGCUGCAUAUAGUGUACUUAUGCAGUGUACAUUGGAAUUAUAUUUAAAUUAUACACCGAUGAAGAGUUGAUUUUAUUUUGUAAUAUGCACUUUUAUUAUGAAGUUUCAAUAUAAAAAAAAAUGUAUUUUAAUGAUAUAUGUUUUUUAUAUAUUAAAAUUUAAAAUAAAUUAAAA